GGGGCUGGGGCUCAGCAGCAGAGCACUCACCUCUCAUGUGAGAGACCCUGAGUUCGAUCCUCAGCACCA
rnacentral:tRNA from 1 species